UACGUAGGGUGCGAGCGUUAAUCGGAUUUACUGGGCGUAAAGCGUGCGCAGGCGGCCCGUUAAGACAGGUGUGAAAUCCCUGGGCUCAACCUAGGAAUUGCGCUUGUGACUGGCGGGCUGGAGUACGGUAGAGGGGGGUGGAAUUCCUGGUGUAGCAGUGAAAUGCGUAGAGAUCAGGAGGAACACCGAUGGAGAAGGCAGCCCCCUGGGCCUGUACUGACGCUCAUGCACGAAAGCGUGGGGAGCAAACAGU
rnacentral:rRNA from 1 species